GGGAAUGAUUGCGAGGCUGGUGCCCGCCGCGGUCUUCAAAACCGUUGUCCCGCCGGAGAGGUGGGAGGUGAGUUCGAUUCUCACACGUUCCCGCUA
rnacentral:tRNA from 1 species